GUGCUCUCUUUGGCAGCACAUAUACUAAUAUUGAAACAAUACAGAGAAGAUUAGCUUGGCCCCUGCAUAAGGAUAACAAGCAAAUCCGUGAUGCAUUCCAUAGUUUU